UGAGGAAUAUUGGUCAAUGGACGCAAGUCUGAACCAGCCAAGUAGCGUGCAGGAUGACGGCCCUAUGGGUUGUAAACUGCUUUUAUGUGGGGAUAAAGUGCGUGACGUGUCAUGCAUUGCAGGUACCACAUGAAUAAGGACCGGCUAAUUCCGUGCCAGCAGCCGCGGUAAUACGGAAGGUCCGGGCGUUAUCCGGAUUUAUUGGGUUUAAAGGGAGCGUAGGCUGUCUAUUAAGCGUGUUGUGAAAUAUACCGGCUCAACCGGUGGCUUGCAGCGCGAACUGGUCGACUUGAGUAUGCAGGAAGUAGGCGGAAUUCAUGGUGUAGCGGUGAAAUGCUUAGAUAUCAUGACGAACUCCGAUUGCGCAGGCAGCUUACUGUAGCAUAACUGACGCUGAUGCUCGAAAGUGCGGGUAUCAAACAGG
rnacentral:rRNA from 1 species